rnacentral:rRNA from 1 species
GUUGGCCGGUAUGAAUGGCAUCACGAAGGCCCCACUGUCUUAAGAGGACUCUCCAUGAAAUUGAAAUCGUAGUGAAGAUGCUACGUCCAUAUUGUAAGACGAAAAGACCCCAUUGAGCUUUACUAAAGACUUGUAUGGCUCGAAAUAACUUAAAUAAAAAGUUUAGAUAAUGUGGGAUCCGUUUUGGUUAAUGAAACACCACUCUUUUAUUUUAAGAGAGCUAACCUUGUAGGGAGAAUGCAAGUUGGAUAGUUUGGUUGGGGCGACCACCUUUUAAAAGGUAACGAAGGUGAGCUUAAGGUCCGUAGUUAAUAGCUAGUGGCCUGACUGCAAGGGGGACAUCCCGAGCAGACACUGGUAAUCUCUCAGUGGGUUAUAGUGACCCGUCAUCUUAGAGUGGAAUAGUUGACGAUC